AAAAAUCCCAGAAGUCCCACACGUCCCAAACAGAAUGAAAAGCAAAUCUCAAAUAACCCCAAACCCUGGGGAAAGGGUUUGCAUUCCAUUACCAGUGUGGGGUUUCUGUUUGGGAAUGGGAAGGGAAGGAUUUGGGCUGGGAAUCAAGGGGGACAAAAUUCCAGGAAUUUUUCCCAUUUUUAGGGUCAGAUUCCGUCAUUUUGCUGAAGGUCAAGGAUUCCAGGACUCCGGCUCCAAGGUGAGGGGUGGGGAAUGGGGAGAUUUGGGGGAUUUUUUAGGGACACAGGGAGGUGACAGCGAAGAGGGACAGGGUGAGAAUUUGGGAAAUGAGGGAAUUCUGGGGAAAUUUCAGGAUUUUUGGUCACUUCCAACCCUCCUUUCUCCCUCUUUCCAGCCUUCCCUUUUUCCAGGCCGAGCUAUGGAUCAAGGAGCUNNNCAGCGUCUACGAUUCCCGAGCCAGAGAGAGGUGGAGGCAAAUCGAGGAGCAGAAAGCUCUGGCCCUGCAGCUCCAGAGCCAGGUGAGAAUUACAUGGAAAAAUGCACUGGCUUGGAAAAAAAAAAUUGGGGGAAAAAAGUGCAAGAACAAAAAAAAAAGCAGGUAAAAUCAAUUUUUAAAAAGCUUUUGUGCUUCCCAGUCAUGGGAGAAACAGCAAGGAAAAGAGGAAAUGUUGUCCCAGAUUGGAAAUCAUGCCAAAUUGGAAAUUUUGGUACUGGAAAGGUGGUUAUGGCUUGGAAAAGGGGUUAGAAUCCGUGGAAGUGGGGAAAAAAUUGAGAUGUGGCACUUAGGGACCAGGGUUGGGUGGCUCUGGAAGGGUUAAUUUCUGGAGAUUUUUCUGACUUUAUUGGUCCUAAAUCCUCCUUUUCCCCGAUCCCAAAUGCCUCUGUGAGGAGAAUCCCUGAU
rnacentral:lncRNA from 12 species